UAAUCUCAUUAUUCUAGAGUUUGACAUGGCUCAGGACGAACGCUGGCGGCGUGCCUAAUACAUGCAAGUCGAACGCUUCUUUCCUCCCGAGUGCUUGCACUCAAUUGGAAAGAGGAGUGGCGGACGGGUGAGUAACACGUGGGUAACCUACCCAUCAGAGGGGGAUAACACUUGGAAACAGGUGCUAAUACCGCAUAACAGUUUAUGCCGCAUGGCAUAAGAGUGAAAGGCGCUUUCGGGUGUCGCUGAUGGAUGGACCCGCGGUGCAUUAGCUAGUUGGUGAGGUAACGGCUCACCAAGGCCACGAUGCAUAGCCGACCUGAGAGGGUGAUCGGCCACACUGGGACUGAGACACGGCCCAGACUCCUACGGGAGGCAGCAGUAGGGAAUCUUCGGCAAUGGACGAAAGUCUGACCGAGCAACGCCGCGUGAGUGAAGAAGGUUUUCGGAUCGUAAAACUCUGUUGUUAGAGAAGAACAAGGACGUUAGUAACUGAACGUCCCCUGACGGUAUCUAACCAGAAAGCCACGGCUAACUACGUGCCAGCAGCCGCGGUAAUACGUAGGUGGCAAGCGUUGUCCGGAUUUAUUGGGCGUAAAGCGAGCGCAGGCGGUUUCUUAAGUCUGAUGUGAAAGCCCCCGGCUCAACCGGGGAGGGUCAUUGGAAACUGGGAGACUUGAGUGCAAAAAAGGAGAGUGGAAUUCCAUGUGUAGCGGUGAAAUGCGUAAAUUUAU
rnacentral:rRNA from 1 species